AAACAGCACGCUCAGUCUGUUUUUGCAGCUUAGAUGAAUCUAUUAUUCGUUUUAUCAUUAUUGCACAACUAUGAUAAAUUGUUGCUGUGUUGUGGGGCAUAACACAUGAUUGCCAGUGGAAUAAAGAUUGAAAAUGGCUGAAAACUGCUUUCCUGCUUAGGAGGCACAGCCACGAGACCAAGUAUCUCGCAUUACAAAGUCUCACAUCGACCAAACAUCACCUUUCGGAGUAUUUUCAUUCUGGGACCCAUCAUCCAGAAGUAGAUGGGCAUGACUUAUUCUGUCAGUGCUGCUCCUCAGGAAUGUCAACUCACGAUGCUCACCUCAACUGACUCAGUGAUGUAGGAGGCAAAUUUAAUGCGACAUGACCAUUGAAACUGCAGUUGCUAUCAAAAACAUCAGAUAUGUAUCAGAAUCAAUCUCACAUGUGAGUCUUGUUUUCAUUUUCAUCUUUGUGUCUCCAGUCUUCUUGUUCAGUAAUAUUUCUGUUUAGCCACAGCUACACAACCUUGUUUGAUAAGCAUUUAUUGAUCAGUCAUUCAAAAACACGUCGGUAGAGGCAAUCAAAUUAUUUUACGUGUCUCAUAUAAUUGUAACCUGCUUCAUAAAAUACCUAGAAAUCAGGAUCUUUUUCAUAGCACAUUUAUCAGCACAUAUACCAAAGCAAAAAAUAAAGAACACAGGUUUUCACAUUAAAUUGGUGUUCUGAGGACUCCAAAUGUUUCAGCGAAACAAAAGCUGAUUUAAAGUUGAAGGAAAAAAGUGCAGCUAAGAUUUAUUCAAGAACUUCCAGUUCCAUGCAUUUCUCUUUCUUCUCCUCCCGCAACACUUCAUAAUCGUUUAAAACAUGCAGCCUUGUGUUGCAAGGUCUUUUGGAUGUGGAGUGGUUGAAUGCACCUGCAGGGUGAAGAGCGCCAGGUAAACGUUGUUGCCUGUGAGAGGGGAAGCGGACCUGCAGCUCCUCCCCAUUUGCGGUAGUUUGAAUGAACAACAAAAUCCAAAGAGCAAUAAAAAGCCUGCUGCUGUUGGCCGCAUAAACUUCGAGUUGAAUUCCCAUCCUUUCAUUGUGCAGUAUCGUUUCACUAUGCUUUGCAAGUUGCUCUCACUUCAGAAGCCUUCCCGUCUCCAGAGUGCUGCUUGUUUAUGUUGUAAUCUCGUUGGCCUCCUGUGAAUAUUCUGAAACCACAUGUUUGACCUCAUCUUGAACCUGAAUGGCAUCACUGUGCUGCUCAUGAGUUUCAUCUAAUUUUUCCAAACUUUUGGUUUCAUCAGCAUGUUUUAUUUUGUUCUCAUCUCCACCUGAGAUAAAAUCAUCUUCCGUGUCAGAUCUUAGGUCAGAUUGAUGUAGACGUUCACUCUUCAUUCUCACAUCUGAUUUCUCUACAGUUUCCUUCUCAUCUGUGCUUUCAGCUGCUUUGUGAUUCUCUAAUUCUUUCUCAUCAAGGCCCUCACUUUUUAAAAUCCCACCCUGUUCCACGUCACCAGGUCCCAAUGGACUCACAUCUGCAUUCUCAGACUUUCCAGCUGAUGCUAUUUGAUUCUGCUGACUAUCAGACAUCUGGUUUCCCUCUUCAUCUCCAUUGUCUUUAUGAUCACUCUCUUCCUCGUUGCCCCCUCUCUUGCUUUUUGUACACUCAUGCUCAUCUUUCCCUGCUUCAGUCUCGUCUGAUCCAGUGUCCUCAAAUUCUGACAGCUCUAUUUCCCUGGUGGUCUCUGUUAUGAUCUCCUCCACAAACUUGAACUGGGGCUCUGCUCGUCUGUACGUGGCUCCUGGUCGACUGAAGCAGGGGAGGCUGUACACAGGAGACUGGUGGUAGAUGUGGGGCAAGGAGAUGUUGGAGUCAGACCCCAUGGAGAGCCGAGCCUCCUCACCACAGAGAAGUUUUCUGUGGGAUGGAACACAUUUUAAAGUUAAAUUAACUGCAAAUGACUAGGAUUCUUAAAUCUGCUGGUCCAGAUGUUUGUCUUACCUGUAGGACAAUAUUUCCACAUCCAGAGCCAUCUUCACAUUCAGAAGGUCCUGGUAUUCCCGUAGGUAACCAGACAUGUCAAAUUUACAGUUGAUAAGCGCAUUUUCAAGUUCUUUAAUUGUAUUCUGGAACAAUAAAUAAAAAGACCAGAUUAAUACAGAGUUGUGUCAAAGCUGAGCAAACCAGAAAUCAUGUAACUGAUCCACCUGGUAGUGGAUGAGUUCCUCUUUAUGGCGAUCUUCCACAUCAUGAAGCUGCCUCUCCAGAGCUUCUCUGGUCCCUUUAGCGCAAUCCAGCUCGACGCUUUUGGCCUGGAGGUUCCUCCUGUACUCCUGGAUCUCCUGCUGGCUCAACUUCAGCGCCUCCCUUUUGGCCUCCGCGGACUCCGUUAAUCUUGCAAACUGAGAUCGGAAACUUUCUCCUCUCUCCCGGACCUCCGACAUGGUGUGACCCUCUAGUUGUGUCCUGAUCUCCCGGAGAGCCGCAGUGACGUCAGGGUUCUCAAAUCCUUUGACGCUAACCUGCGCAUCCUGGAUUUGGUCAAACAUUUCCGACACGUCGGUCUCGUGGUUUGUCUUCAGGAAGUGGAUUUCAUCCACCAGUGACUGCGCUCUCUGGUCCAGCUGUAGUUUGGCCUGAUACGCUUCGCUGAUGUCCUUCUUCAGAACCGCGAUGCUGCUCUCUGCGUCUGAUCUGGAGCGCGUCUCCUGCGCGUGUUGUUGCCGCAAACCGUAAAGCUCUUCCUCCAGAUUCUGAUGCUCCAAGUCUAUCUGAUGCUUCUGAUGGGUGAUAUCCAGAACCAGCCGCCUCAGCCUUCGCAGCUCCGGUCCGUACUCCACCUCCAAACAAGAUGCGGGUUUCGCUUUAGCUCUGAGCUCUUCGACCUCCUUCUCCAGAAGAAGGUUGUGGUGCUCCAGCUGGUGCACCUUCUCUAUGAAACCCGCAAGACGAUCAUUCAAACCCCGCAUCUGUUCUUUCUCACUCAACUUUCCAGAUAACGGGUUGGUAGCACUCAUAUUUACUCCUUUUAUUCCCAAGCCUCCUCGUGGAGACGCAUCUUGAGCGGGCCUGUGCGGGAAGACAUUCCUACUAUCCAUGCUGAGAAUGAUGUUGCGCGUCUGUGCGGGCAUUUAUACUCGGAUCCAUUUGCUCUGUGUGCAGAAUGAAGCUGUCCGUGGUGCUGAAAACGUGCAGCGUCAGCUACUGCUCUAAUGGGCUCCUCAGCCCCAUCACACCCCCGCGUUUUGUCGCAGAAAGCAGUGACGUGGCUGACUGACUGUAAACGUCAAUCCAACAAUCAUUAACUUCAGGAGCAUUUCUAGCAAUGCGUCAGGAGAACGCGGACUAUGUUAGUGGAGCGUUUACACAUUUCAAUAAAAACUAUGUCAUAAGUGGAUUUCUGUAAAUUUAUAUUUCCUCCUGGAGAUUCAUUUUUUUCUCAUCCUCUAUAACCAAAAUGAUCGUGCUAAUCAUGCAUUUUAAUUGUCAGGUGCUGAACGCAGCUUAAGGAUUGUGGCCCUGGAGGUCCAACAUAACAGCCAUGCACCUGUAUGAAAAAGUUUUAUUGAUUAUUUUUUUCCCUCCCAGUUAAAUCUGUAUUUUACUAUUUAAAUCUGCAUUAAAAUGUCACUUUUAAGUAUUUUUGAUAUUUAUGAGUAAUAAAUGAAUAAAGUCAACAUUAGUCAAGAGUUGGACGCUUUUAUUUGAUGGUAAAACGGAAAAACAAAACUCCGUCUCGUCAGAGCCAUGCAUUAUUUCAACGUUUGAUGGUGAUGGUAAGCCCGUCUCCUACGGUGAGCAUGCUCAGUUCAACUCUCUGGUCCUUGUGGAUCUUCUUAUUGAGGGCAUCCAGACUCUGGGACUGGAGAUCAUUCAGGGCUGGAUUUACAACUCUUCCACUCCACAGCACCUUUAAGGAGCAUCAGAGCUGCGUCAUCUUAUCUAAAGUGAAAACACAAACUGGUAAUAUGAGGUUCACUUACGUUGUCAAUAGCGACAAUACCUCCUUUACGUAUGAGCUGAAGGGACUUCUCAUAAUAAAUGUCGUAGUUGAGUUUGUCGGCAUCGAUGAACACAAAGUCGUAUGUUCCAACUUCUCCGGCUGCUAUCAGCUCGUCUGAUGGAAGAAAAUAAAUGAAAACAAAAACCUGAACAAUUAAGAAAGGAUACAGAGUACUUACCUAAGGUUUUUGCGGCCAUUUGAUGCUGUACAUCUAUUUUAUUUUCAACUCCGGCCUAAAAUAAAAGAUACAAUUGUAUAAAGUGAUUUGAGACAUGGCUAUUUUUAAAGAGAAAAUGUGGCAAGCUGUAAAUACUAGCUGAUUCUAUUGCUUUACUUUGCAUUUUCAAGUGACACAGUUUCCUGAGCAGACACCUUUCAAAUGUCCAGCCUGCAGGAUUUUUAGACACAUUGACAGUUGCAAGAUGUACGGCGUGCUGCCUCAUGCACAAACGGGCUCUGGCAGAGGCUACAAUCAAUAAAACAAACAAACAAAAAGAUAAUACCUAAAUGCCACAAAAGUGGAGAUUCUAUUUUUCUAAAUGUCAUUUAUCUCAAGUAUAAUAGAGGAUUUAACACAAACCAGUGAUCAGUCACAGAUCUUACCUCUUUGAAAAAAGAUCUAGCGAUUUCCACGUAUGAAUCUUCUAUUUCGCAAGCGACCACGCGUCCACCAUCUGGCAUGGCAAGAGCCAUACUCAGAGCGUUGUAUCCUGUGUACAUCCCUGCAUGAUGAAUACAGUUUAAAUAUUGUUUCCAUUUCAUGCAUUCUUGUUUCUUUUAAGUUGCUAAAAUAUGAGAUUGUUCCAAAAGAGGCUGAAAAGACGAGAAUAUUAAGGAUUUCUACUGUAUUCAUUUAAUGCUAAAUACUUCAAAUUUUAAAGUAAAUGCCCACUAUUUAUUGGUGCUGAAAUAUGUAAAUUAAAUAAAGUGGCGGGAGACUCCGUUUUCUUUAAUUUGUUAUCAAACAAAGCAAUAAAUCCUGAAAUCUACAUCCGGUUGUAUUGGUUACAUAAUGCAACACUCAAACCUUUCAAGGGGUUCUAUAGAUUGCAGAUAAAGUGUUUUAUUUUUUGUUUUUAAAUUCUUGGUUUACCUAUUUCAAUAGCCUUUGUAGCAUUAAUGAGUCUAAGGAGAUUUGCCAUAAACUGGGCCUGCUCACAGGCCACCAUCAUCCUGUUCCAACGGUCUUCAAGGGUUCUCUGAAACGCAAACAAGAAAAGAUGUUUUAUUAGAAAACAAAACUUUAAAUUUACUUUCUUUAGCAUUUUUUUUAUUUAUUAGCUGUUGUCUGCCCUCUAGUGACCAAAACCCAUACUGCUUCUACUCGGACAUCAGCCACUGUGGUUUUACAUUUCCUGUGCUAAAAAUUAUGGUUGAGUGUUAAUCUGAUCUCAGCAUUAAUAUACUCCCAUUUUAGAAAUUAAACAGGAAAUAAUCCUUGAGUUUCUCUGAACUGAUGUCCAAAUAAACCAGAGAGAUGUUCAAUCCCUUACCCUCAUUAUAAGGGUUCAGCCAUUUUCUUACCAGUCUGAGUUUGGUGAGGACUGGAUGUUCCCUCAGCGAGUUAUUCACUACGUACUGCAGCACAGGAUCAUCUCUUCCAUGACUGUGACUCUUUCCAAUAAAG